CAGGAUGGCGGCCCCGGUGCACCCCGGCGCGCCGCACUCUGUGAAGUUGGACACGCGUAACAAUCAGAGUGGCAGCCGGGCUGUGGGCUCACCCUCCUUCCCUGGAGGGACAGCGGCUCGCCCAACGCUGCUCGCCGCCUCCUGGGGCGCCCAGUUCUCUUUCCAAGCGAGGGAUCCCGCGAUUAGACUGGAACUCUGGAAGGAGAUGCAUUUGCAAGUCACAAGAAACAUUAUGGCAACAUAGCAGUAUCUUGUUUCAUUGGUAGGGAAGAGGCCAAAGGUCUUGAGAAUGGAGCCCUGAGGAUGCACAGCUGUUAACCAGCAGCCACGGUAUAGGUCAGAAGUAGCUGCCUUCCCAUAGUGCAGGAGUCCUCAAGUUGACCUCCAUGAGGAAACUGGGUGUAGAUGUGCGUCGUGCGUGUGGGUAGUGUCUGCAGAGGUCAGAAAGGAGCAUCAGGUCCCUUGAACUGCAGUUAUGGAGGGUUGUGACCCACCUCCUGUGUUCUGUGAAUCAAACUGGCUUGCAGAUGCUUCCCUACUCCCUGGCCCCGACACUUUCUAUUAUGCCCUACCAUGUACCUUCUUCGCUGCAAGACAGUAAUGGAAUUUUAAAAUUCAUAACCAAGCCUGAUGUACGCUGAGCAUGGAGGUAUAUAUAUGCCUGUAUAUGGUUGGAAAUGUGACCCGUUUCUUCCUCUGGUCAACUGCUGUCAUGCCUUCCCCCACCCUCCUUUAUGGACUCCCCUGCUGGAACUACAAAUCCAAGGAACAGCAGUCUUCUGCAGGGUCAGAAGUAACAGUGAUCUGGAGCUAUGGAGGAAGUAUGGUGUUCUAACGCUCGUGAAACACACUGAACUGUGUAACCGUGGGAGACUCCUUGUUGGAUUUCUCUUCAGAUAAAGUCUCUUUACAUAGCCUGGCUGUCCUAGAACUUACGAUGUAAACCAGGCUGGUUUUGAACUUGCAGAGAUCCACCUGCCUCUGCUUCCUGAGUGAUGGGACUAAAGGCAUAUGCCACCAUGCCCAGCUCAGGAGGUCACUGUUUUAGAGUGAGCUCCUGAACCAGGUCCACAGUGAGUCACUCGUGCUGAAGCUACAAGGCCAAUUAGAAAUCGCAAGGGCUUAGAUCCCCACACACUUAGAUCAUUAUUCCUGGUUUGUUGGAUUCCAUUUUAUGGAUAACAAGGGAUGCGGUACAAAGGAAGUCCUCUCUGUUAGAGCACUUAGAGCAGAGCAAACCCAGGGAAUCUGGCCUGGGGUCUUAUUUCUACUGGUAUUUUCUUGCUCUUUCUAUAUAAAAUCUACCAUUCUUCCAUCUCCCAGUGGGAUCCUGAGUAAAAGUCAAUACAGCCC
ensembl:lncRNA